GGUUGUGGCUCAGCGGUAGAGCGCUCACCUAGCAUGUGCGAGGCCCUGGUUCAAAGCUCAGCACCA
rnacentral:tRNA from 1 species